rnacentral:rRNA from 1 species
AUGCCACCAUCUGACAUGACUGAACAUGUUGGCAGGCUGUUGGAAGAAAAGGAGGGAUUCGAUGUCAGUUUCAGUGUUGGAGGAGAGACCAUUGAAGCACAUAGGCUCGUUCUUGCUAUGCGGUCGCCCGUUCUGAAGGCAGAGCUCUAUGGGCCGAUGCGGGAGGCCAAGCCGGGGCAGUGCAUAACCAUCAAGGACAUGCAACCUGCUGUUUUCAGGGCCCUGCUCCACUUCAUCUAUACCAAUUCUUUGCCUGGUGGCGAGGAUGAGGAUACUGAGAUGGCCCGGCUUUUACUGGUGGCUGCUGACAGAUAUGCCAUGGAGAGGCUCAAGCUGGUUUUCCAGAGCAUUCUUUGCAAGGAUCUGAAUGUGGACAUUGUGGCAACCACAUUGGCUUUAGCUGAUCAACAUAACUGCGAUGAGCUUAAGGAUGCUUGCCUUGAAUUUAUUUAA